AUUGCUUAGUAGCGGCGAGUGAGCGGCAAAAGCUCAAAUUUGAAAUCUGGCUCUUUCAGAGUCCGAGUUGUAAUUUGAAGAAGGUAUCUUUGGGUCUGGCUCUUGUCUAUGUUUCUUGGAACAGAACGUCACAGAGGGUGAGAAUCCCGUGCGAUGAGAUGAUCCAGGCCUAUGUAAAGUUCCUUCGAAGAGUCGAGUUGUUUGGGAAUGCAGCUCUAAGUGGGUGGUAAAUUCCAUCUAAAGCUAAAUAUUGGCGAGAGACCGAUAGCGAACAAGUACAGUGAUGGAAAGAUGAAAAGAACUUUGAAAAGAGAGUGAAAAAGUACGUGAAAUUGUUGAAAGGGAAGGGCUUGAGAUCAGACUUGGUAUUUUGUAUGUUACUUCUUCGGGGGUGGCCUCUACAGUUUAUCGGGCCAGCAUCAGUUUGGGCGGUAGGAGAAUUGCGUUGGAAUGUGGCACGACUUUGGUUGUGUGUUAUAGCCUUCGUCGAUACUGCCAGCCUAGACUGAGGACUGCGGUUUAUACCUAGGAUGUUGGCAUAAUGAUCUUAAGUCGCCCGUCUUGAA
rnacentral:rRNA from 1 species